CUCACCUGCAUGCUGCAUUCUACCUUCCACAGCAUCUAACCAGAGUACGCUGGUCGUAACUGGAAAACCAACAGAGGCCAGGUGCGGUGGCUCAUACCUGCAAUCCCAGCACUUUGGGAGGCCGAGGCGGGUGGAUCACGUGAGGUCACGAGUUCGAGACCAGCCUGACCAACAUGGUAAAACCUCAUCUCUACUAAAGAAAAUACAACAUGGGGCAUGUGCCUCUGUAAUCCCAGCCACCUGGGAGGCUGAGGCAGGAAAAUCUCAUCAACCCGGGAGGCGGAGGUUACAGUGAGCUGAGAUCGUGCCACUGCUCUCCAGGCUGGAUGAGUGAGACUCUGUCUCAAAAAAAAAAAAAAAAAAAGGUAGAUGAGUUUUAAAGGCACAGUGCUUUUGGCCUUCUUCAGUCCAACAGCACAAGGCACACAAAGUAUCAAUGCCAUAUGAAGUCCUACUAUUAGACCUCAGGCCUCUAAUAGCACCGCUACUGUUUGUCACUGUAACAAUCCUAAAGUACAACCUGACUCCUGAGCUGCUCCUGAUGUAGUAAAGGUUCCACCCUGUGUAGUCCUGCAUGGUGACAGAUACACCAUAACAGAGUCCUUAUUAAAAAGGCCCACAAGUGC
rnacentral:lncRNA from 10 species